UUUACUGUCCAGGCAUUGCCAUGGAUAAGUAUUCUUACUGUUGCACUGUUCUUGCUGGAGAUAAGAGGUUACAGCAAAUUACAUGAUGACCUAGGAGAGUUUCCAUAUGAGGCCUUCAUCAUAGACUGGUAUAUAAGCGCCUACAUAAACCUCACCAUGUUUGGAAGAUUCCUACUCCAUUUGCCAGUCAUGCUUUUCACCCUAUUGAUGGCUUUCUUCAGAGUCUACCUUACCAUAUAUACCCUUUUAUCUUUCCAUUACACAAGGUGGUUUAUUUAAGUCUGUACAUCUUGGUUAAUAUCUGGACAAUUUCCAUUCAUGACGGUGAUUUUCGUGUCCCCCAAAU
rnacentral:sRNA from 1 species